AUUGAACGCUGGCGGCAGGCCUAACACAUGCAAGUCGAACGAGUGGCGGACGGGUGAGUAAUGUCUGGGAAACUGCCUGAUGGAGGGGGAUAACUACUGGAAACGGUAGCUAAUACCGCAUACCAUCAGAUGUGCCCAGAUGGGAUUAGCUUGUUGGUGGGGUAACGGCUCACCAAGGCGACGAUCCCUAGCUGGUCUGAGAGGAUGACAGGCGCAACUGGAACUUGGCCACGGUCCAGCCUCCUACGGGAGGAAGCGGUGGGGAAUAUUGCGCAAUGGCCGCAAGCCUGAUGCAGCCAUGCCGCGUGUAUGAAGAAGGCCUUCGGGUUUUAAAGUACUUUCAGCGGGGCGGCGUUACCCGCAGAAGAAGCACCGGCUAACUCCGUGCCAGCAGCCGCGGUAAUUC
rnacentral:rRNA from 1 species